GCAACCUGCAGCUGGCCCGCGAGCAGCCCGCCGUUUUCCGCUCGCUGCUGGGCAUCAGCUGGAUGUGGUUCUUCGGCGCCGUGUUCCUGGCCCAGUUCCCCAGCUUUGCCAAGGAGGUGCUG
rfam:Delftia acidovorans SPH-1, complete genome.